rnacentral:rRNA from 1 species
AUACGGAGGUGGCAAGCGUUGUUCGGAUUUAUUGGGUGUAAAGGGUGUGUAGGCGGCAUAGUAAGUCAGAUGUGAAAUCUCUGGGCUCAACCCGGAAACUGCAUUUGAUACUGCUGAGCUAGAGUACCAAAGAGGCAAAUGGAAUUCUUGGUGUAAGAGUGAAAUCUGCAGAUAUCAAGAAGAACACCAGUAGCGAAGGCGAUUUGCUGGGUGGAUACUGACGCUGAAACACGAAAGCUAGGGGAGCGAACGGGAUUAGAUACCCCUGUAGUCC